rnacentral:rRNA from 1 species
AACGCUAGCUACAGGCUUAACACAUGCAAGUCGAGGGGCAGCGCAGUGUAGCAAUACAUGGGCGGCGACCGGCGCACGGGUGCGUAACGCGUAUCCAACCUUCCCGUUACUCAGGGAUAGCCUUCCGAAAGGGAGAUUAAUACCUGAUGGUGUUGAAAUUCCGCAUGUUAUUUCAACUAAAGAUUUAUCGGUAACGGAUGGGGAUGCGUGACAUUAGAUAGUAGGCGGGGUAACGGCCCACCUAGUCUACGAUGUCUAGGGGUUCUGAGAGGAAGGUCCCCCACACUGGAACUGAGACACGGUCCAGACUCCUACGGGAGGCAGCAGUGAGGAAUAUUGGUCAAUGGUCGGAAGACUGAACCAGCCAAGUAGCGUGAAGGAUGAAGGUUCUAUGGAUUGUAAACUUCUUUUAUACGGGAAUAAAACCUCCCACGUGCGGGAGCUUGUAUGUACCGUAUGAAUAAGCUUCGGCUAACUCCGUGCCAGCAGCCGCGGUAAUACGGAGGAUGCGAGCGUUAUCCGGAUUUAUUGGGUUUAAAGGGAGCGUAGACGGGAUGUUAAGUCAGUUGUGAAAGGCUGCGGCUCAACCGCAGCACUGCAGUUGAUACUGGCGUCCUUGAGUGCGGUUGAGGUGUAUGGAAUUCGUGGUGUAGCGGUGAAAUGCUUAGAUAUCACGAAGAACUCCGAUUG